rnacentral:lncRNA from 1 species
UUUCAACAAAUAUGUUGUACAAUAUAAGUGGUUCACCAAAGACCUCCUUAAUUUUUUAAAUUUUAACCAUUUGAUAUUUUUGUUAAAAAGACAACCAUCAGAUUUUGUAGGUCUAUUGUAUAUAAUGGUGUACCACCAACACUUAAUCUUGUUUUUGCUUUUCAUCAUCUUCUUUCUUCCAUUGUUCUUCAUCUUCAACAACAAUUUCUUAAAUUGAAACAAAAACUCAAAAAUUUUAAUCCGAAAAUCCAAAAAUAAAACACUUAAAGAAAUCAGAUAUGAAUCAUAUGAUAAAAUACAAUAAAAGAGAAUGGCCAGAAAAUGCUAACAUAUCAAUUUCACUCCUUUUCCCACUUUGAGAAUGGCCAGAAAAUGUUAACAUAUCAAUUUCACCACUACCACCAUCCACACCAUCAUCACCAUAACAAUUUUCAACAACAAUUCUUUCUACAACAAUUUAUGGGUUAAAGAAUGAUUUAUGGGUUUGUGAAUUUUUAGGUUAUAGAUUUUAAUUUAUGGCUUAAAGAAUGAUUCACGGUGUUGUUGUUGUGAAAAUUAAGCUACUUUCUUAGUGUUGUUUUUGUUCGAAUUAGCAUGGUGGUGGUGGUGUUCUUGUUGUUUAAUUUUUUCCAUGAUNNNNNNNNNNNNNNNNNGCCCCUUUUUAAUUGUUGUACCAGAGAAAGAGAGAGAUGAAGAUGAAGAAUAAUUAAGAUGAACAAAAAUCCAACCUUUUGUAAUUCAAUAAUGAAAUUCUGGAUUUUGAAGAA